rnacentral:rRNA from 1 species
GACGAACGCUGGCGGCGUGCUUAACACAUGCAAGUCGAACGGAAAGGCCCUGCUUUUGUGGGGUGCUCGAGUGGCGAACGGGUGAGUAACACGUGAGUAACCUGCCCUUGACUUUGGGAUAACUUCAGGAAACUGGGGCUAAUACCGGAUAGGAGCUCCUGCUGCAUGGUGGGGGUUGGAAAGUUUCGGCGGUUGGGGAUGGACUCGCGGCUUAUCAGCUUGUUGGUGGGGUAGUGGCUUACCAAGGCUUUGACGGGUAGCCGGCCUGAGAGGGUGACCGGCAACAUUGGGACGGAGAUACGGCACAGACUACUACGGGAGGCAGCAGUGGGGAAGAGGGAACAAUGGGCGGAAGCCUGAUGCAGCAACGCCGCGUGCGGGAUGACGGCCUUCGGGUUGUAAACCGCUUAAGCCGGUGACGAAGCGUGAGUGACGGUAAUGGGUAAAGAAGCACCGGCUAACUACGUG